GCACCUGUGGCGGAAUUGGCAGACGCAGCGGAUUUAAGCUCCGCUGUCACAAGACGUGAGAGUUCAAAUCUCUCCAGGUGUA
rnacentral:tRNA from 2 species